rnacentral:lncRNA from 1 species
CAGAUUCUGUAACAGUUUACAGUAUUAUGAGAGGGGGGAUGAAACUAUAAAUAGGACAAUUACAAGAAAACUUACAGGAACAAUAGGUUGAAGAGGACCCUGCUCAAAUGAGCUUACAGUCUAUAGGAGGUGGGGAAUAAGACACGAUAGGACAGGAAAUAUCAAUCAAAUAGGGUGGGAGUGAAGCAGAGCUGGAGGAAAGAGUAAGGCACUGCCCGAUAGGAGAGAGCUAGUGACACACCAAUCUCAAAUAUCCCUCCCAUACAUCUCAGCAUCAGGAUGUGAUCUAGGUCCCCAGAUGAUCUCACGGACUGGUCGGACAUCUUGACAUCCAAAAACUCGAUUACCAUUUGUGUCCCUCACCUGAAACAAGCAUAUAAAAUGCUUUUCUGAUGAUACUUUAUACCUCAGCGUCAAGCUUCCAUGCAACACACACCGACCAAUUUAUGCUGGAAACUAUGCAGAUUAACCGGUUACUUUUUCGCUGCUGGUGGAACUGCCCCAAACUGCCUUGAUCUCCAGCAUUUCUCCACCAAACUCCUUUUUACCCAUCUCAAAUCUAACUUGCCCUACCUCUGCAACCUCCCUCUACAACUCAACUCUCUCCUGUCAACUCGACAUCAUGGCACCUCUCGCAAUUAAACACAGCAAGCGCCCCCAAUUACAACCAUGGCACACCAAGCUCACCCGUUACCUCCAAAAAUGUUCUAGAACUGCUGAACGCUGCUGGAGAAAGUCUCACUUUGCAUCUGACUUCCUCCACUAUAAAUGUAUGCUAUGCUCCUACAGCCUGGCUCUCUCCGCUGCAAAAGUAUACUACUUUAACACCCUCAUAAAUACAUUGUCCCAUCAACUCAAACACCUAUUUCACACUUUUGAGGCCCUUUUACUCCCCCUCCUUCUACCACCUUGAUUGCCACAAACUUUGCAUCUCACUUCACUGAGAAGAUAUCUACAAUCAGAGAAGAGAUUGCUAAUCUCUCUCCUUCCCCCACCAAUACAUCACCAAACCCCACUCCCUCCACCAUUCUACACUUAUUCGCACCUGCUACAGCAGAAGAGGUUCAUGCUCUGCUCCGGUCCUCAAUCCCUACCACCUGUUUCCUCAAUCCUAUUCCCUCGCAUCUCAUCCGCACUUUGUCUCCCUCUCUUGCUUUUCCUCUCACUAAAAUAUUCAAUCUCUCCCUUUCCUCUAGCACAUUUCCCUCUCCCUUCAAACAUGCAACUGUAAACCCAAUUCUGAAAAAGCCCAGCCUUGACCCCAACUUCCCAUCCAACUACCGCCCUAUCUCACUAUUGCCAUUUGCCUCCAAGAUCCUCGAGAGAGUUGUGUACAUCAGACUGACUGACUUUCUGGAAUCCAGCUUGACCCCCUUCAGUCUGGAUUCUGUGCUGGUCAUUCUGUCGAAACGCUGUGACCAAAGUAUCCAACGAUUUAAUCUGAUCUUAAUUUGAUCUUUCUGCUGCCUUUGACACUGUUGAUCUUCAACAGCUUCUUCACAUUCUCCAUAAUUUUGGUCUACAGGAUACUGCUCUCUCCUGGUGCUCCUCCUACCUCUCCCAGCGCUCUUUCAGUGUUUCUUUCUCUGACUCUGUCUCUUCCCCCCAACCACUCUCUGUCAGCGUCCCCCAAGGUUCUGUCCUUGGUCCCCUACUGUUCUCUAUCUAUACUGCCUCCCUUGGGAAACUCAUCAGCUCCUUUGGCUUCUGUUAUAAUUUCUAUGCGGAUGAUAAGCAAAUCUACCUGUCCUCUCCUGAUCUCUCUCCACCCAUCUUGACCCAUCUUGACUCUUCGAUCUCCAACUGGAUGGCUGCUCACUUCCUUAAACUCAACCUGUCCAAAACAGAACUUCUGGUCUUUCCUCCCUCAAGUGUUACUACUCCUGUGUCUGUCUCCCUCCAAGUCAACGGCGCUACCAUCACCUCUACCUCACAGGCUCACUGUCUGGGUGUUCUUUUUGACUCCAACCUCCCCUUCACCCCUCAUAUCCAAUCAAUCACCAAAUCCUGUUGCUUCCAUCUCAAAAACAUAGUGUGCAUUCGCCCCUAUUUAACCCCAGAUGUGGCUAAGGUGCUGGUCCAUGCUCUUGUUCUCUCUCGGCUUGACUUCUGCAAUACCCUUCUCAGUGGUCUUACAUGUUCUCAGAUUGCACAGCUGCAAUCUAUAAUGAAUGCAGCGGCGAGGCUCGUUUUCCUAUCUGCUCGCACCUCCCACACCUCCCCGCUCAUUUUCCUAUCUGCUCGCACCUCCCACACCUCCCCACUGGCUUCCAGUUAAAUAUAGGGCUCAAUUUAAAAUUCUGGUGCUUGCUUACAAGUCCCUACAUAAUGCUACUCCAACCUACCUAUCCUCCCUAAUACACAAGUAUGUCCCGUCGAGGCCCCUACGCUCUGCCAAAGACCUACGUCUAUCCUCUGUCCGUACUCCCACCUCUGAUGCUCGGCUCCAAGAUUUCUCCAGGGCUGCACCUCUUCUGUGGAACGCCCUUCCCUUCUUCGUAAGACCAGUCAAAAAAUCAUUGAAAACUCACUUCUUCAAAAAGCAUAUCAGCUAAACUGUAAGCAGGUUUUUAUCCCCCACCCCCAUGACUCCUCUCCUGCAACUGUCAAAAAUUACCUACUAAUCCCUCAAUAAAAAACUUUUCAAACAACCUACUUCGUACCCCUACGUUUACCCUUUGCGUCACAAUAUCCCACUCCCUCUAGAAUGUAAGCUCAUUAAGCAGGGCCCUCCACCUCUCUGUUCCUGUACGUCCAAUUGUCUGGUUAAAAUUACAUGUCUGUUAGUCCACCCAAUGUACAGUGCUACGGAAUGUGAUGGUG